GAACACGAGAGUAAGAAGGCCUCAGUAGUCAGAGCUAGCUUAUCUCGAUUGAUGCCGAAUGUUGGAGGUCCAAAGCAAAAUCGGAGGUUACUGUUGUCAUCAGUAGUCACAUCCGUGCUGACCUAUGGAAUAUUAAUCUGGUCUGAUGCCUUGGAAAACCAAGAAUCAUGGAGAAAAGUGGGUCCAAUUUACAGACUUAGUGCCUUACAGAGUCUUAGCUGAGGCAAGAUGGAACCUAUAUCAACGAAAGAGGUCCAACCACACUGAGCCCGGAAGAACUCAGAACAGAACAACGGCAACAUAGCAUCUUGCGAUGGCAACUAUAGUGGGAUGCUGCAGAGAAGGGAAGAUGUUGUCAGGACAUGGCUUUUUCCGGGCGUAUCUCCACCGCUUCAAGCACGAUGAUUCCCCGGAGUGUCCGUCCUGCCCAGGAGUCACUGAAGAUGUGGAGCACGUUUUCUUGUGUGCCCUCGUGUCAACCCGCAGCGUGAUUAACUGGAGAGUAUCCUGAACCAGACAAUCCAACCAGAGACACUAAUAGGAUAGUAAUGCUGUCAUCGAAAACUGCCUGGAACGCUACCAGUACCUUUGCUACUGAAGUCCUUACGGAAUUACGUUCCAUUGAAAGAAGAAAAGCGAAAGACAGUAACUAGAAGGAAGGAAGAAGUCACCUUAGCUACCAGAAGGAAGAGCAGUAGCUAGAUCUUCCCUCCACGAAGUAAUGCCUAACGGCGGUUUCCGUGGGGAUCAGAGGCCAGAGGAAAGGGUAGGUUUUAGUCGGUAUUAACAUCUUGAGUUCGACAUAUUCAGGCGAAACACCUAAGCUUGGAAUACGUAAAUGUAUUUCUUCCUCUAUAAAAUAAAAAAAAAAACACUAACAC